rnacentral:rRNA from 1 species
CCUACGGGAGGCAGCAGUGGGGAAUUUUGGACAAUGGGCGAAAGCCUGAUCCAGCAAUGCCGCGUGAGUGAAGAAGGCCUUCGGGUUGUAAAGCUCUUUUGUCAGGGAAGAAACGGUGAGGGCUAAUAUCCCUUGCUAAUGACGGUACCUGAAGAAUAAGCACCGGCUAACUACGUGCCAGCAGCCGCGGUAAUACGUAGGGUGCAAGCGUUAAUCGGAAUUACUGGGCGUAAAGCGUGCGCAGGCGGUUUUGUAAGUCUGUCGUGAAAUCCCCGGGCUCAACCUGGGAAUUGCGAUGGAGACUGCAAGGCUAGAAUCUGGCAGAGGGGGGCAGAAUUCCACGUGUAGCAGUGAAAUGCGUAGAGAUGUGGAGGAACACCGAUGGCGAAGGCAGCCCCCUGGGUCAAGAUUGACGCUCAUGCACGAAAGCGUGGGGAGCAAACAGGAUUAGAUACCCUGGUAGUCCACGCCCUAAACGAUGUCUACUAGUUGUCGGGUUUUAAUUAACUUGGUAACGCAGCUAACGCGUGAAGUAGACCGCCUGGGGAGUACGGUCGCAAGNUUAAAACUUAAAUGAUAGAGCGNGAGAGNGCGAGACGACGACGAGGGAGGAGG